UGCCAGCAGCCGCGGUAAUACGGAGGGUGCAAGCGUUGUUCGGAAUCACUGGGCAUAAAGCGCACGUAGGCGGCCAGGUAAGUGUGAAGUGAAAGCCCACGGCUCACCCGUGGAACUGCUUUGCAUACUGCUUGGCUAGAGGAAGGUAGGGGAGAGCAGAACUCUUGGAGGAGCGGUGAAAUGCGUAGAUAUCAAGAGGAAUACCAGUGGCGAAGGCGGCUCUCUGGUCCUUUUCUGACGCUGAGGUGCGAAAGCUAGGGUAGCGAACGGGAUUAGAUA
rnacentral:rRNA from 1 species